GGGUUNCUUCAUAGCCUCUNANGGGCCUNACGGGUNACGGGGUGUUAGGGCACGACACCGGAGAGGGAGCCUGAGAAACGGCUACCACAUCCAAGGAAGGCAGCAGGCGCGCAAAUUACCCAAUCCCGACACGGGGAGGUAGUGACAAUAAAUAACAAUACAGGGUUCUUUUGGAUCUUGUAAUUGGAAUGAGUACAAUUUAAAUCUCUUAACGAGGAACAAUUGGAGGGCAAGUCUGGUGCCAGCAGCCGCGGUAAUUCCAGCUCCAAUAGCGUAUAUUAAAGUUGUUGCAGUUAAAAAGCUCGUAGUUGAAUUUCGGGAUCAAUAUUUCGGUCAUGCCGUUGGUAUGCACUGUUAUCAUUGAUUUCUCACCUUCUAAAGAACCGUAAUGCCAUUAAUUUGGUGUUACGGGGAAUUAGGACUGUUACCUUGAAAAAAUUAGAGUGUUUAAAGCAGGCUCACGCUUGAAUACAUUAGCAUGGAAUAAUGAAAUAGGACAUCCGAUUCUAUUUUGUUGGUUUCUAGGAUCGAUGUAAUGAUUAAUAGGGAUAGUUGGGGGCAUUAGUAUUCAAUUGUCAGAGGUGAAAUUCUUGGAUUUAUUGAAGACUAACUACUGCGAAAGCAUUUGCCAAGGAUGUUUUCAUUAAUCAAGAACGAAAGUUAGGGGAUCGAAGACGAUCAGAUACCGUCGUAGUCUUAACCAUAAACUAUGCCGACUAGGGAUCGGAUGAUGUUAAUUUUUUAAUAGNCAUUNNNAAGGCNUAAANUUAUUUC
rnacentral:rRNA from 1 species